UGGGGGAUAUUGGACAAUGGGGGCAACCCUGAUCCAGCGAUGCCGCGUGUGUGAAGAAGGCCUGAGGGUUGUAAAGCACUUUCAGUGGGGAGGAGAGGGUAUAGGUUAAGAGCUAAUGCCUGAGACGUUACCCACAGAAGAAGCACCGGCUAACUCCGUGCCAGCAGCCGCGGUAAUACGGAGGGUGCGAGCGUUAAUCGGAAUUAUUGGGCGUAAAGGGUGCGUAGGUGGUUUGAUAAGUUAUCUGUGAAAACCCUGGGCUUAACCUGGGGCUGGGAGAUAAGACUGUCAGACUGGAGUAUGGGAGAGGGUAGUGGAAUUUCCGGUGUAGCGGUGAAAUGCGUAGAGAUCGGAAGGAACACCGGUGGCGAAGGCGGCUACCUGGCCUAAUACUGACACUGAGGCACGAAAGCGUGGGGAGCAAACAGG
rnacentral:rRNA from 1 species